GAAGGUGGCUAGCGUUGUUCGGUGUCACUGGGCUUAAAGGGUGCGUAGGCGGAAUGGUAAGCGUCUUGUGAAAUCCCUCAGCUUAACUGAGGAAUUGCUCGGCGAACUGCUAUUCUUGAGGCAAGUAGGGGUGCACGGAACUCUUAGUGGAGCGGUGGAAUGCGUAGAUAUUAAGAGGAACGCCAGAAGUGAAAACGGUGCACUGGCCUUGUCCUGACGCUGAGGCACGAAAGCGUGGGUAGCGAACGGGAUUAGAUACCCCGGUAGUCCACGCCCUAAACGAUGUCUACUAGGCGGUGGAGGUUCUGACACUUUCACCGCCGAAGCAAAAGUGUUAAGUAGACCGCCUGGGGAGUACGGUCGCAAGGCUA
rnacentral:rRNA from 1 species